UACGUAGGGGGCGAGCGUUGUCCGGAUUUAUUGGGCGUAAAGAGCGUGUAGGCGGCCAGGUAGGUCCGUUGUGAAAACUCGAGGCUCAACCUCGAGACGUCGAUGGAAACCAUCUGGCUAGAGUCCGGAAGAGGAGAGUGGAAUUCCUGGUGUAGCGGUGAAAUGCGCAGAUAUCAGGAAGAACACCGAUGGCGAAGGCAGCUCUCUGGGACGGUACUGACGCUGAGACGCGAAAAGCGUGGGGAGCGAACAGG
rnacentral:rRNA from 1 species